GGGUUGUGAGGUUAAGCGACUAAGCGUACACGGUGGAUGCCCUGGCAGUCAGAGGCGAUGAAGGGCGUGCUAAUCUGCGAUAAGCGCCGGUAAGGUGAUAUGAACCGUUAUAACCGGCGAUACCCGAAUGGGGAAACCCAGUGUGAUUCGUCACACUAUCAUUAACUGAAUCCAUAGGUUAAUGAGGCGAACCGGGGAACUGAAACAUCUAAGUACCCCGAGGAAAAGAAAUCAACCGAGAUUCCCCCAGUAGCGGCGAGCGAACGGGGAGGAGCCCAGAGCCUGAAUCAGCAUGUGUGUUAGUGGAAGCGUCUGGAAAGGCGCGCGAUACAGGGUGACAGCCCCGUACACAAAAGCGCAUGUGCUGUGAGCUCGAUGAGUAGGGCGGGACACGUGGUAUCCUGUCUGAAUAUGGGGACCAUCCUCCAAGGCUAAAUACUCCUGACUGACCGAUAGUGAACCAGUACCGUGAGGGAAAGGCGAAAAGAACCCCGGCGAGGGGAGUGAAAAAGAACCUGAAACCGUGUACGUACAAGCAGUGGGAGCACAGGUUUACCUGUGUGACUGCGUACCUUUUGUAUAAUGGGUCAGCGACUUAUAUUCUGUAGCAAGGUUAACCGUAUAGGGGAGCCGCAGGGAAACCGAGUCUUAAUUGGGCGUUAAGUUGCAGGGUAUAGACCCGAAACCCGGUGAUCUAGCCAUGGGCAGGUUGAAGGUUGGGUAACACUAACUGGAGGACCGAACCGACUAAUGUUGAAAAAUUAGCGGAUGACCUGUGGCUGGGGUGAAAGGCCAAUCAAACCGGGAGAUAGCUGGUUCUCCCCGAAAGCUAUUUAGGUAGCGCCUCGUGAAUUCAUCUCCGGGGGUAGAGCACUGUUUCGGCUAGGGGGCCAUCCCGGCUUACCAACCCGAUGCAAACUGCGAAUACCGGAGAAUGUUAUCACGGGAGACACACGGCGGGUGCUAACGUCCGUCGUGAAGAGGGAAACAACCCAGACCGCCAGCUAAGGUCCCAAAGUCAUGGUUAAGUGGGAAACGAUGUGGGAAGGCCCAGACAGCCAGGAUGUUGGCUUAGAAGCAGCCAUCAUUUAAAGAAAGCGUAAUAGCUCACUGGUCGAGUCGGCCUGCGCGGAAGAUGUAACGGGGCUAAACCAUGCACCGAAGCUGCGGCAGCGACACUGUGUGUUGUUGGGUAGGGGAGCGUUCUGUAAGCCUGCGAAGGUGGCCUGUGAGGGUUGCUGGAGGUAUCAGAAGUGCGAAUGCUGACAUAAGUAACGAUAAAGCGGGUGAAAAGCCCGCUCGCCGGAAGACCAAGGGUUCCUGUCCAACGUUAAUCGGGGCAGGGUGAGUCGACCCCUAAGGCGAGGCCGAAAGGCGUAGUCGAUGGGAAACGGGUUAAUAUUCCCGUACUUGGUGUUACUGCGAAGGGGGGACGGAGAAGGCUAUGUUGGCCGGGCGACGGUUGUCCCGGUUUAAGCGUGUAGGUGUGUGUUCCAGGUAAAUCCGGUUCACUUUAACACUGAGGCGUGACGACGAGGCACUACGGUGCUGAAGCAACAAAUGCCCUGCUUCCAGGAAAAGCCUCUAAGCAUCAGGUAACAUCAAAUCGUACCCCAAACCGACACAGGUGGUCAGGUAGAGAAUACCAAGGCGCUUGAGAGAACUCGGGUGAAGGAACUAGGCAAAAUGGUGCCGUAACUUCGGGAGAAGGCACGCUGACACGUAGGUGAAGUGAUUUACUCACGGAGCUGAAGUCAGUCGAAGAUACCAGCUGGCUGCAACUGUUUAUUAAAAACACAGCACUGUGCAAACACGAAAGUGGACGUAUACGGUGUGACGCCUGCCCGGUGCCGGAAGGUUAAUUGAUGGGGUCAGCGCAAGCGAAGCUCCUGAUCGAAGCCCCGGUAAACGGCGGCCGUAACUAUAACGGUCCUAAGGUAGCGAAAUUCCUUGUCGGGUAAGUUCCGACCUGCACGAAUGGCGUAAUGAUGGCCAGGCUGUCUCCACCCGAGACUCAGUGAAAUUGAACUCGCUGUGAAGAUGCAGUGUACCCGCGGCAAGACGGAAAGACCCCGUGAACCUUUACUAUAGCUUGACACUGAACAUUGAGCCUUGAUGUGUAGGAUAGGUGGGAGGCUUUGAAGUGUGGACGCCAGUCUGCAUGGAGCCGACCUUGAAAUACCACCCUUUAAUGUUUGAUGUUCUAACGUGGACCCGUAAUCCGGGUUGCGGACAGUGUCUGGUGGGUAGUUUGACUGGGGCGGUCUCCUCCUAAAGAGUAACGGAGGAGCACGAAGGUUGGCUAAUCCCGGUCGGACAUCAGGAGGUUAGUGCAAUGGCAUAAGCCAGCUUGACUGCGAGCGUGACGGCGCGAGCAGGUGCGAAAGCAGGUCAUAGUGAUCCGGUGGUUCUGAAUGGAAGGGCCAUCGCUCAACGGAUAAAAGGUACUCCGGGGAUAACAGGCUGAUACCGCCCAAGAGUUCAUAUCGACGGCGGUGUUUGGCACCUCGAUGUCGGCUCAUCACAUCCUGGGCUGAAGUAGGUCCCAAGGGUAUGGCUGUUCGCCAUUUAAAGUGGUACGCGAGCUGGGUUUAGAACGUCGUGAGACAGUUCGGUCCCUAUCUGCCGUGGGCGCUGGAGAACUGAGGGGCUGCUCCUAGUACGAGAGGACCGGAGUGGACGCAUCACUGGUGUUCGGGUUGUCAUGCCAAUGGCACUGCCCGGUAGCUAAAUGCGGAAGAGAUAAGUGCUGAAAGCAUCUAAGCACGAAACUUGCCCCGAGAUGAGUUCUCCCUGAGACUUAGAGUCUCCUGAAGGAACGUUGAAGACGACGACGUUGAUAGGCCGGGUGUGUAAGCGCAGCGAUGCGUUGAGCUAACCGGUACUAAUGAACCGUGAGGCUUAACCUUACAACGCCGAAG
rnacentral:rRNA from 1 species